rnacentral:rRNA from 1 species
UACGUAGGGUGCAAGCGUUGUCCGGAAUUAUUGGGCGUAAAGAGCUUGUAGGCGGUUUGUCGCGUCUGCUGUGAAAUUUCGGGGCUCAACCCCGAACUUGCAGUGGGUACGGGCAGACUAGAGUGUGGUAGGGGAGACUGGAAUUCCUGGUGUAGCGGUGAAAUGCGCAGAUAUCAGGAGGAACACCGAUGGCGAAGGCAGGUCUCUGGGCCACUACUGCGCUGAGAAGCGAAAGCAUGGGGAGCGAACAGG